AACUUCGUAGCUCGUGUCAGCAUCAGCAAGGCGCGAAUUCGGCAUUCGUUUGUCUGGUCUUUGGAGAACGAACAACCAGUCGGCAGGCAUGCCGUACGAAGCCUCAAAGACCAGAUGAAUGGCCAGGCCAGAAAUUUUGCGUCGCAUUCAAAUGUAUGGACGUUACUCAUCUUAGUGUUUAUAUUGUCUUUGGCUCAACGAGUCAAAAUGGCGCAUUUUGGACCCGAACUUGAUAGUCGAAGUUUUGCAAGGACAUUGACCAUCUUGCUAUCCGCAUAAGAACUUUUUUUUCCUUCAUCGUUAUUGUUAAAGCAUUGCAGUCAGUUAUGGUUUUAAACGUUUUACCUAUUAAAAACACAUGUAAUUUAUUAAGAGCAUACAUAACAGCAAGAAGUUCUAAUUCGUAUGAGUAGUACUUUUUUUCAGCCGCACUUGUCUAACGGCUCAUAUACUGAACAUGAUGAACAAUACCCCAUCAAAACAAAACGUGCUAGCAUCCGUGUUAUCUUCCGUUUCUAACUUAGUGCUAUAGAAUUUUAAUACAAGUCCACUCCUCAACAAUUCUUAAUUCUCAAUUCUUCGAAUCCGACAUGCUGCAACUCUUUAAUAUCAUACCUUGCAUCCUUUCGGAAAACGUCGGACAAUGAUUUUGCAAUUACUUCAUACCCCUCUACAAACAUUCGAAAAUAAACUUUAUUAAAUGAAACCCUAAAAAUUGGUUAUUAUGCUUGAAAUCGGAAAAUUUGCAACAGCUUGAGGCUCUUUUUGGAGUUAUAGAGCUCCUUUGCAGAAGGAGGUUAUUUACCCCUGCAACAAUUGAUCUACCCAACUUUUAGCACCCUUUUGACCUUCACCGGGUCGUCAUCAAGAAUAUGACGUCUUUCAUAUAAACGAUCGUGGAACCCAUUUUGGCCAUCUGGAUAUUGUCAAUCUGAAUGGGUAUUACUUACAAAACCUUCCAAAUGUCAGAAUUUGAUUGUCUCCUAGGGUCUUAGAACAUACCGUUAACUAUUUGAUUCCUAACUCUAGAUGGACACACCUACGUAUGAGACACAGGUCCUUGUCGUAAUACAUUAAACCUUUGCAAAUCUCUACGCCACAAACUACGCCGUUCGUCUACUUCUUGUUUAUAUUGGCUAUCAUCAUUAUACUUAUUACUAUUAUAUAUUAUAUAUAUGCUUAGGACAGUCCUUUAUCAUAUGUGAAUCGGCACCAUAUUAAAACUAUUUACGGACUUUAUUUGCUUUAAAACCUUGACUAUCGUGGAGUCUUCCUUUAGCAACUGUCGAUCCAGGUUUACUGUGCGAUGCGUAUGAGCCACGAGCUUUCUGAUAAGAUUCUAUGUGAACUUUCAACUGUUUAAUUGUUCGGCCUUAUACGAUACGAACAGCAAAUUGUUUGUUUUAGAAUCUGGGGUAUCGCCCAUCAAAGAGUUAAACUCUCAUCAACGACAUCAAUUGAUUUUCCUGUGUCCAUCAACGCAUAUACAAAUUCUAGCAGCAACUAACCUUUUUUCUGCUGGCGCUUUCCCAAUCAUCUAUGAACGUCUUUUAGCACCUCCCAGUUAUGAAUAUCCCUGGCAACGAAUAAAUGAUUUAUCAGCACCCUCAAGCAACUGCUUGGCAUAAGAAAUAACAUAACUGUAGUAGGAUAGUGACGUCCCAUUAUCAAUAGUAUGUAUUAUCAGAAGUACACACGGUUACUCUGGCAGCAGGUGUCAUGUAGGUAACAGAGUAUGUUAAGCAUUAGUGUUAAGAGCAGUCUGUGACUAGCUUUGAAUAACAUAAGACAGUGAGACUACAGGAGAAAUAAAACAAACAUAUAUUGAAGCUAAUAAAACACAAUAUACAUAAAUUCUAUCAUCCCCCCACAAUCUAAGUGGGCCUAACUCACAAUUAACGAAGUUGAAAUUUAUAAAUUUUCUGUAGCUCGAUUGAAAAAGUGGCUUGGUUUGCCAAGCACAGGUUGUAAAGCAGAAUUGGUAGCAUGGCUUAAUGCGAUUUCGUCAGAAAGGCGCGGCAUUCCGCCGGAGUACCGGCCAGGUUCUUAAUAAUAUGCAAUUACUACAGCAUGAUCAAGGUAUAGAUGAGAGCGACAGUGACUACGGUAUUGUCUGUGAACAACAACAACAGGCAACGCAGUCACUUACUGAAACUGAGGCAAGGUCAGACAACAUGACGGCUGUUUGAAGGCCACAACAACAGGCUGAUCAUGAUCGAUGGAUGAUCCAAGGCGACGAGAUGGAAGUGCGUACUCAUGCAGCAGCUAUAACCAAGCUAAUAGCAUUUAUGGACACCGCUGAGUUUGCUGUGCGACAACAGCUUAGGGCAGAAAUCGAUGCCAGCAAGGAAUUCCUUCAACAAAUUCGCUUGACAUUCAAAGCGCAGUGCAGUUCGGAGGAGCUGAACAAAGUAACGGCAGCAACGAAAAUGGAAACAACGCAUGCAACAGAAACGUAUGCAGCAGCAACGUAACCGACAACGUUAACAGUAGCAGUGCCAACAACAAUAUUAACAAUGUCGCUGUUAACGUUGCUGAUAAUUGCAGCGACGGUGUUGGUGAAGACAGCUGUGGUGACGAGCAAUGUGUUGACAAGCGCUAAAUUGUAAAUAAAUUGGUGUAAGAAUCAUCUACAUCGCUUGCAUGGACUAAAGGAGUAGCCAUUGAGUACGACGGUAGUUCAUGCGAUCGAAUCUGGAUAACACAAUUACACAAUAUUGCUAGCAAAGCUUAAUGGCAACGCGCAGCGCUCUCUACAUGCAAAACCGACACGCAUCUUGGAACCAGUCGACAACUCAUUUGUUUGAACAACUUAUCUUAGCAUUUGGAGGAGAGAUUUUAAAAGCAAAAGCAAGGAGCAAAUUUCAAGAUCGACAGUGACAGGCGAACGAGAAUUUUGCUACUAAUUUGAAGAACCGAUGCAAAUUCUCCAAGCGUUUUCUGGUGUGCGUGUAUGGGAGCAGAAGAAAGAAAAUAACGCAUCACUGACAAUGUAAUCAAAGAAUUCCUAUACCAAGGAAAUGCGCUGUCACAAUAGUAAUGCGAGAGGUCACCUAGCCAAAGAAUGUCGAAAUGCCUGGAUCAAGUUAUGCGUGCGGGGCAUUUGGUCAUUUUGCUCGUCAGUGCCCAGUGAGAAAAUCUGCAGCCGUAAUUAAAGAUCAAUAGAGUCUCAUUUUCAUUUAUAUGUUGUUGCAAAUGAAUCUAUGAGUCUUGAUGUUGUUCUUGGUAUAUGUUGUUAGUGAACAAUCAUAGAAAACAGUUAGUCAAAAAGUAAGUGAACAGUCAAAGGAAACACUCAGUCAAAGAGUUAGUGGACAAUCAAAUUAAACAGUAAGAAAUGAAACAGUUUCUUAGAUAGUAAGCCAAAAACGGAGUGAAAAUUUUAGCAACAAAAUUGUUAUGAAAUAUUUAAAUGAUGAAAUUAGUGAAAAAGAAAAUAAUAAUGAAUAAAGAGAUGGUCCAUAUCAAUUUAACGGAAAA